GCAAACUUGGUCAUUUAGAGGAAGUAAAAGUCGUAACAAGGUUUCCGUAGGUGAACCUGCGGAAGGAUCAUUAUCGAAUUUCGACGGGGGCGCUCGGUUCGGCCCGCACCGGUGGAGACGCCGUGCUGCGGUCGGCCAAGCGCCCUCUUCCAAACUCAAACCCCUGUGAACCUUUUGGGAGGGACGCGCCGCGUUUCGGAGCGCCCUCCCGUUCCUUAACCAACUCUGAUGUCUAUUUGAAUGUCGAGAUUCGGGGCAGCCCCGAUGUCUAAACUGAAACAACUUUCAACAACGGAUCUCUUGGCUCUCGCAUCGAUGAAGAACGCAGC
rnacentral:misc_RNA from 1 species